UACGUAGGUGGCGAGCGUUGUCCGGAUUUACUGGGCGUAAAGGGAGCGUAGGCGGACUUUUAAGUGAGAUGUGAAAUACCCGGGCUCAACUUGGGUGCUGCAUUUCAAACUGGAAGUCUAGAGUGCAGGAGAGGAGAAUGGAAUUCCUAGUGUAGCGGUAAAAUGCGUAGAGAUUAGGAAGAACACCAGUGGCGAAGGCGAUUCUCUGGACUGUAACUGACGCUGAGGCUCGAAAGCGUGGGGAGCAAACAGGAUUAGAUACCCGUGUA
rnacentral:rRNA from 1 species